UGGGGAAUAUUGGACAAUGGGCGCAAGCCUGAUCCAGCCAUACCGCGUGGGUGAAGAAGGCCUUCGGGUUGUAAAGCCCUUUUGUUGGGGAAGAAAAGCAGCGGGCUAAUACCUUGCUGUUCUGACGGUACCCAAAGAAUAAGCACCGGCUAACUUCGUGCCAGCAGCCGCGGUAAUACGAAGGGUGCAAGCGUUACUCGGAAUUACUGGGCGUAAAGCGUGCGUAGGUGGUUGUUUAAGUCUGUUGUGAAAGCCCUGGGCUCAACCUGGGAACUGCAGUGGAAACUGGAUGACUAGAGUGUGGUAGAGGGUAGCGGAAUUCCCGGUGUAGCAGUGAAAUGCGUAGAGAUCGGGAGGAACAUCCAUGGCGAAGGCAGCUACCUGG
rnacentral:rRNA from 1 species